AUUGAACGCUGGCGGCAGGCCUAACACAUGCAAGUCGAACGAGUGGCGGACGGGUGAGUAAUGUCUGGGAAACUGCCUGAUGGAGGGGGAUAACUACUGGAAACGGUAGCUAAUACCGCAUACCAUCGGAUGUGCCCAGAUGGGAUUCGCUAGUAGGUGGGGUAAAGGCUUACCUAGGCGACGCUCCCUAGCUGGUCUGAGAGGAUGACCAGCCACACUGGAACUGUGACCCGUACCAUACGCCUCCGGGAGUCAGCAGUGGGGAUUAUUUCACAAUGUGCGCGAGCCUGAUGCAGCCAUGCCGCGUGUAUGAAGAGGGCCUUCGGUUUGUAAAGUCCUUUCAGCAGGGAUGCGUUACCCGCAGAAGAAGCACCGGCUAACUCCGUGCCAGCAGCCGCGGUAAUUC
rnacentral:rRNA from 1 species